CGUGAAAUCCUUUUUUUGGAAUGUGGCAGAAUAGAGUACGAAAUGUAAAGACUUAACGCAGUAGCCUUCUUUUACAGUUUUAGCAUACUCUGUUUACAGAAGACCUGGUUUUUUUGUUUUUUUGUUUUUUUUACUGUAAAAUAAGUUUAUUAGUAGUAAGGUGAUAGAAUUUAUUCCCGAUAUCUGAUGUUACAACCUUUAGGGUCCUUGAGAUAUGCAGGAUCCUUGUAUGUAACUGACAUAAACCCCAUUAUUUGAGCUCUCUUAAUUGCUUUCGUGAUUUCUUUCUGUUUCUUCCCACAAAGACCAGGUCCUCGUUGCUGGAUACCUGUUUAUAUUGUGAACAACCUCUUCUCCAAAGCACCGUGUGAGUCCCGGAAUGUGUAAGGCUGACAGCAGCCGUUACCAGGUGUGUCAACUUCUUCCUCCCUAGACCACCGCAAACAGCAACCAUAGCGGCCGUGGUUCCGCAUUUCUUCCACUUCCUUUCAUCCCAAAUGUCAAUUCCUACUCUCUACAGCAACAGUUAAAAAAACAGGUUGAAAAAAAUACAGUGCUCUCCUGUGUUUGGGCAAACAGGAAUCAGGCCACCCUGACCUCAUGGUCCCGCGGAUGCUGCCAGGAAGCCCGAAAACUCCAUCCAAAGCUGCUGAGACAGAAUCUUUGGCAGAGCUGAAAGGAAGCUGAAAGGAGCGGUGCCGGGAGUUCCUGCCCAAAAAGGGGUGAGCACGGCACUUGGCAAACACGCAGCAUGUAUUAUGUGCUGAGUUAACACCCCUUAGUGUCAUUAUUAGCACUUUCAGAAAUAGCCAGCAAAGCUAUUUAGAGAGGGGGUUAAAAAAAACACCACCAAAACCUUUAACUUACUCCAAUAUUACUUCAGGUGCAUUAAUACUUUUAAAACCUAAAUUGUAGUCUUUCUACUUGUUGUUAAGUCAUCAUUAUUCUUCAGACUCAAAUUCUGGCAGUUCCUUGUUGAUAUAUUCCUUCGGUGUUUCUUUGGCAUUGCUGUUGAGUCUCAGAUCCCACAUUGGAGGAUCAGCUGCUACGAGGUGUAAUAUGAGGGUUAAGUGAAAGCAAACCCCAGGGUCUUACGUGACCCCAGCAGGCU
rnacentral:lncRNA from 1 species